rnacentral:rRNA from 1 species
AACGAACGCUGGCGGCAUGCCUAACACAUGCAAGUCGAACGAUACCUUCGGGUCUAGUGGCGCACGGGUGCGUAACGCGUGGGAGCCUGCCCUUAGGUUCGGAAUAACUCCCCGAAAGGGGUGCUAAUACCGGAUAAUGUCUUCGGACCAAAGAUUUAUCGCCUUUGGAUGGGCCCGCGUUGGAUUAGCUAGUUGGUAGGGUAAAAGCCUACCAAGGCGACGAUCCAUAGCUGGUCUGAGAGGAUGGUCAGCCACACUGGGACUGAGACACGGCCCAGACUCCUACGAGAAGCAGCAGUGGGGAAUAUUGGACAAUGGGCGAGAGCCUGAUCCAGCAAUGCCGCGUGAGUGAUGAAGGCCUUAGGAUUGUAAAGCUCUGUUACCCGGGAUGAUAAUGACAGUACCGGGAGAAUAAGCGCCGGCUAACUCCGUG